UAAUAUUACUGCAAUGUAACGUCUGUUACAUUAAAGCCAUUUCAAAUGAGUUGAAACAAAGCUAAUUUAGACUAUCAGCUCCACAAAACUCUCUCUACAUUACUCAGCGUGGCUC